GGCGACCGGCAAGCGGGUGCGGAACACGUACACAACCUUCCUCUCGAGUGGGGAAUAGCCCGGGGAAACCGCGGAUUAAUACCCCGUAACAUAAUGAGGUGGCAUCACUUUAUUAUUAUAGCUCCGGCGCUUGAAGAUGGGUGUGCGACUGAUUAGGCAGUUGGCGGGGUAACGGCCCACCAAACCUACGAUCAGUAACUGGUGUGAGAGCACGANCAGGCACACGGGCACUGAGACACGGGCCCGACUCCUACGGGAGGCAGCAGUAAGGAAUAUUGGUCAAUGGACGCAAGUCUGAACCAGCCAUGCCGCGUGGAGGAUGAAGGCCCUCUGGGUUGUAAACUUCUUUUAUCUGGGACGAAAAAGGGACUUUCUAGUUCAACUGACGGUACCAGAGGAAUAAGCACCGGAUAACUCCGUGCCAGCAGCCGCGGUAAUACGGAGGGUGCAAGCGUUAUCCGG
rnacentral:rRNA from 1 species